UACCUGCAGCUCGAGUGGUAACCGCUAUUAUUGGGCCUAAAGCGUCCGUAGCCGGUUUGGUAAAUAUCUGGGUAAAUCGUGAGGCUUAACUUCACGAAUUUCGGAUAGACUGCCAGACUUGGGAUCGGGGGAGGUCAGAGGUACUCCAGGGGUAGCGGUGAAAUGUUGUAAUCCUUGGAGGACCACCGGUAGCGAAGGCGUCUGACUAGAACGAGUCCGACGGUGAGGGACGAAGCCCUGGGGCGCAAACCGGAUUAGAUACCCGGGUAGUCCAGGGUGUAAACGAUGCGGGCUAGGUGUUGGGGCAGCCACGAGCUACUCCAGUGCCGCAGAGAAGUUGUUAAGCCCGCCGCCUGGGGAGUACGGCCGCAAGGCUGAAACUUAAAGGAAUUGGCGGGGGAGCACCACAAGGGGUGAAGGCUGCGGUUU
rnacentral:rRNA from 1 species